ensembl:lncRNA
CGUGCCCCAUUCAUCAUUUUCCUUGUGAUUUAUUAUUAUUAUUUGUUCUUCUGCCGUCUUCUGUGACUCAGGGUUGGUACCUGAGUGGGUGUGGAAAGACUCAAGAAAAGCCAGUGGCUCCUCUCCACCAGCAGAUGGCGCUGCAUUUAACCGGCGCGGCGGGUUAAAUGUUUAUCGGAGCCUGAGACGGCAGCGCAGGCGCAGUGUGGGGGGUGGGUAGACAGGCAGAGUUGUUCAGCUCGUCGAAUACUUCUUUCUGUUUCAUGCAACCUCAUUCUCUUUCCUGCAGAAAUGUUUGUGGAUGCGUUGAGCAAACUGAAAACCACCCGCACCACUGCUGGCUCAGAUUCCACGUCAAGUUCUAUUCAGAGGUCUAAGAGUCCAAUUCCUAAGUCUCCUGCCACAGUGAAGAGGAAGACCACUGAAGAACCAGCAGCAGAGGGCGAUGAGGGAUCAGCUAAGAAGAGGCGAUCGCUCCAUGAUGUGCGGGAGGACAGACAGCUGGUUCAGCAACCUGGUUGGUGACUAACUUUAAUUUGGCACUAGCCUUGACGUUACACGACCUUAACAAAGUGUCCAAAUGCACUUGCAUGAUUUCGCUUUUGCAUUGGUCCAGUAAUGUCCUGUGAUUGGACGACUGUCUAUCAAAAGUGCAUUUGAACAGACGUUGCACUUCAGAUAAAGCCACACGUUGUACCGUCGCCCCCCUGCUGUUCACCUUCUCAGCCUGUGUGUGUGUGUGUGUGUGUGUGUGUGUGUGUGUGU